GGCCAUGGAUUCGGACACAGGUGUUUUAGAUGAUGCUGCUGAUCUCCUGGACUUGGUGCACCAGGAAGUCGGUGAAAUUUCUACCAGGAUGGCUGCCCUGACAGACAGAAUAAAUAUGUGUAACGCUGUCUUGGAUGACUUGAAAGCACUGAAGGUCUUACUGGACAAAUCUCUACCAGAUGUAUACUUAAAGUCACAGCCAGAACCUGGAGAGCCACUUCCCAAAACGUCCCCAUGAAAUGUAACUGAAUAAAAGCUGUCAAUCCUG